GCUCCCAUAACUCAGCUUGGCCAGAGUGGCAGCCUUAUAAGCUGCAAGCCGCGAGUCCAAAUCUCGCUGGGAGCA
rnacentral:tRNA from 1 species